UUAGUCAAAAACAUGAAUAUAAACUGAUUUAAAUUUGUAUAAACAACUCUUUUUUCAUGAUAUCUUAAAUUGAUGCUUUCGAUUUAGAAAUUUAAAUUGUUUUAUUUAGAAAUUUAAGACCUAAAAUCUGUAUUUAUAAGGAAAUUCUCCCAGAUCUGCUGCCUCAUUUUGGCAUUUUUAAUAGGAUCCUGGAGUCCUGAAUCCUGGCCAGAGAAAAUCUUUAGCUUCAGGCAAUCUGCCCCAAACUUCUUGGUUGGUGUCAGUACAUACAUACACUUGGUCGAAUAUUUCAGCCAAUUCUGAAUAUAUUUUGCAAAUUUGAACCAUUGAUAAAUAUUGAAAAUCUAAUUUUGUCUUAAACAGUUUCAGGGUUUUUCCACAAUAAUGUAUAGAUUAUUUUUAUUUUGUUUAUUAAACAAAUUAAGCAAGACGAUUCUUAGAUAUGAUUUGAGCAUGGAGUGAAAUAGGUAGUAUCCGAUACAAUCCUGCAGAUACAUUAGUCCCUGCCUACACCUACAUCAGUGGAUGCCUAGUGUCCUGAACACUGCCUGUAGUGGCUGAGAGAGUUGGGACAGUGGGUAGUGUGUUGCUUCAUCACACAACACCCUGGUUCCGUUCCUGUCAUGGUCACUUGAGUCAUUUAGCUGCAUUAUUGUACAGGUCCCCACAUCUCCUUUCUUGUCAUCAGUAGAACUACAGGUCCACACGUCUCCUUUCUUGUAAUCAGUAGAACUACUGGUCCCCACGUCUCCUUUCUUGUCAUCAGUAGAACUACAGGUCCACACGUCUCCUUUCUUGUCAUCAGUAGAACUACAGGUCCCCACGUCUCCUUUCUUGUCAUCAGUAGAACUACUGGUCCCCACAUCUCCUUUCUUGUAAUCAGUAGAACUACAGGUCCCCACGUCUCCUUUCUUGUAAUCAGUAGAACUACAGGUCCCCACAUCUCCUUUCUUGUCAUCAGUAGAACUACAGGUCCCCACAUCCCCUUUCUUGUAAUCAGUAGAACAGUAGAACUACAGGUCCCCACAUCUCCUUUCUUGUCAUCAGUAGAACUACAGGUCCCCACGUCCCCUUUCUUGUAAUCAGUAGAACAGUAGAACUACAGGUCCCCACAUCUCCUUUCUUGUAAUCAGUAGAACUACAGGUCCCCACGUCUCCUUUCUUGUAAUGAGUAGAACUACAGGUCCCCACAUCUCCUUUCUUGUCAUCAGUAGAACUACAGGUCCCCACGUCUCCUUUCUUGUAAUCAGUAGAACUACAGGUCCCCACAUCUCCUUUCUUGUCAUCAGUAGAACUACAGGUCCCCACAUCUCCUUUCUUGUAAUCAGUAGAACUACAGGUCCCCACGUCUCCUUUCUUGUCAUCAGUAGAACUACAGGUCCCCACAUCUCCUUUCUUGUAAUCAGUAGAACUACAGGUCCCCACGUCUCCUUUCUUGUAAUGAGUAGAACUACAGGUCCCCACAUCCCCUUUCUUGUAAUCAGUAGAACUACAGGUCCCCACAUCUCCUUUCUUGUAAUCAGUAGAACUACAGGUCCCCACGUCUCCUUUCUUGUCAUCAGUAGAACUACAGGUCCCCACAUCUCCUUUCUUGUAAUCAGUAGAACUACAGGUCCCCACGUCUCCUUUCUUGUAAUGAGUAGAACUACAGGUCCCCACGUCUCCUUUCUUGUCAUCAGUAGAACUACAGGUCCCCACAUCUCCUUUCUUGUAAUCAGUAGAACUACUGGUCCCCACGUCCCCUUUCUUGUAAUCAGUAGAACAGUAGAACUACAGGUCCCCACGUCUCCUUUCUUGUAAUCAGUAGAACUACAGGUCCCCACAUCUCCUUUCUUGUCAUCAGUAGAACUACAGGUCCCCACGUCCCCUUUCUUGUAAUCAGUAGAACAGUAGAACUACAGGUCCCCACAUCUCCUUUCUUGUAAUCAGUAGAACUACAGGUCCCCACGUCUCCUUUCUUGUGAUCAGUAGAACUACAGGUCCCCACGUCUCCUUUCUUGUAAUCAGUAGAACCACAGGUCCCCACAUCCCCUUUCUUGUAAUCAGUAGAACUACAAGAGUGAGGUCACUGUUUAUAGUUACAUGCAAGACCUUGUACAUGUCUGUCACCAUCUCGACACCAUCUUGACACCAUCUUGACACCAUCUUGACACCAUUGUUCAAUACUGAAGCCUUGUCCUUGUCAUCAACCUUCUUCUGUCUUUAGAAUUACAAAGAGGGACAUCAUCAGAUGCUUUGAUGUGGAAGUAAUUCUGUAGGUUUUGAGAACCAAGUUCAUAUGUUACAGUCAAUGUGUAAAAUCAGUCGUGUGAAAUGGCUGAAAUUUUAGCUUCGGCAAUUCACAAGACGCCUAAAUAAUUCAGUCGUUUUACAAAUUGACUAAAAAUUCUGUCCAUAUAAUUUAUUAUGAUAACGAAUUCCAAAGAUUUUGAUGUUGAAGUUCAUCACCCAGUGAAUAUGACAGCGUAAAGAGAAAACGGAAGUCAGUGUAUAUUAGUUUUCAUUGUUCCCUUAUUAGUCUCCAUGGUUAUAUAAUGAGAACAUCUUUCCCUUGAGGUGGUGGUGGGGUGGCCCAGUGGUUCAAGUGGUGGCCCAUCAUGCUGAAGCCCUGGGUUUGAUUCCCUACAUGGCUACAGUGUGGGUACUCCAUACUCUCUGCCCCUACAGUCAUACGGUUGAGGUGGUGGUAGGGUAGCCCAGUGGUUCAAGUGGUGGCCCAUCAUGCUGAAGCCCUGGGUUUGAUUCCCUACAUGGCUACAGUGUGGGUACUCCUUACUCUCUUCCCCUAUAGUCUUACGCCCGAAAUAUUCCUAAAAAAGAUAUUAGACUGCAAUCAGUCAGCACUGACCCCAUAAAGAUUCCCGAUGACAGUUUAGAUCCCUAAUCCCAAAGAACCGACGAAAUGAGGAUUGGGUGGUCACAGUGUAUGACUGUCUGAUUCUGUGCACGACAAUAAGGUUGUUGUUUAUGCUGUCAACCACCGUUGUGCCCACCCUGUAUUAUCCACACAACAUGUUGUGACUGUACUAUUGGUGUUCACGACUCAAGAACAUACCUCACACAGGACAUAGUAGGCAGGUGACUGCAUGGCCAACAUUUAACCCCACACUGACCAGAUGACAUUCUCCAGCCCAUAGGCGGAACAUUCUGUUAGAAGAGCUAGAAAUAAUUCCCUUGCUAAUCCUGUCAGGAAUCCUCCCCCACAAGACUAAGUCCUCCCUCCUCCGCCCUAGACUCUCCCCCUGCAUGGAGUGUUGCUGCUGGCAUGAACAAUCCGAUGUUUUACUUUCCGAUCAGAUUAAUGUCUCUCCACCUUGAGUUGAUUCUGUUGGGUUAUUGAUGUGUGUAACUGUGUAACGUCUCCGAUAACAUCAUGUGUGGUGCUGUUGAAGAUUUAAGCUUGUCCUACAUCUAAUUACCAGUUUGAAUAAUGAUAAUGAAUUUAUUGAACCCUUUCAUCACUUUAAUUUCUGCAGUUUAACUUAACAUCUACCUGAACGCCACUAUCACCCAAUCAUAAAUUUAAGUUUGAUAAAUUAACAGUCAGUAAAGAUAUUUAAGUGACAAUUUAGUUUGUGUUACUUGAACCCAGAUUUGUGAUGGAAUUUGAGAUAAAGUUUCUGAAAAAAAUUGAAAAUAAGUUGAAACAUUAUAAAUUUUAUGAUAAUAAAAUCUUGUCUCACAUUCCAACCACUGGGUUUGUAUUUGAUUCCCAACAUGCCUGUGAUCUCCAUGUUGUUGUAGUGUUGUUUCAGUGUUGUUCAAUCGUUG
rnacentral:misc_RNA from 1 species